UGGAUGGUAGUGUAUUGGACUACCAUGGCAAUCACGGGUAACGGAGAAUUAGGGUUCGAUUCCGGAGAGGGAGCCUGAGAAACGGCUACCACAUCUACGGAGGAGGCCGCGGCGGAAAAAUUGCCCAAUCCUGAUUCAGGGAGGCAGUGACAAGAAAUAACAACUUUCAACUUUGUUGAAAAGUGUAAUGAGGAUAAUUUACAAACCUUACCGAAAAGCAAUUGGAGGGCAAGUCUGGUGCCAGCAGCCGCGGUAAUUCCAGCUCCAAAAGCGUAUAUUAAAGUUGUUGCAGUUUAAAAAGCUCGUAGUUGAAGUUCUGGCUGUAUUGGGCCUUAGCACUUGAUGCGGAGGAACCAGCAGUCAUCCGCUUGCAAAUACAUGUCCUUCCUUAACCGGUAGGCUGUAUAAGUAAGCACUUUACCUUGAGAAAAACAGAGUGUUCCAGGCAGGUUUGUCCGGAAUGCGUUAGCAUGGAAUAAUAGAAUAUGACUGAAGUCGAUUUAUUGGUUUAAGGCUUUAGUAAUGAUUAAUAGGAACAAUCGGGGGCAUUGGUACUUGUCAGUCAGAGGUGAAAUUCUAGGAUUUGACAAAGACUAACUGAUGCGAAAGCGUUUGCCAAGAAUGUUUUCAUUAAUCAAGAACGAAAGUUAGGGGAUCAAAGACGAUCAGAUACCGUC
rnacentral:rRNA from 1 species